CAAUCGGGGGACUCCUGAGGAAGCAUCUCCUGAGGGGGCGUCUCCUGAGGAGGCGUCCGCUGCAAGGGUGAGUCCUCAUAGUCCACCAUAGGAGCCCCGGAAAGUGUGGGCCCCCGUGGUGAAAAUUCACCCUGUGGUGCCGUCUCAUCUGCCGUCUCAGGCUGGAGAGGGGGCCAGUCGGGGGUCGCGGAAGAGUAACGAGGGGACAUCACCGAAGAAAGCCCCCGCUCCUGUUCUUCAUCCCGAAAGUCGAUCAGGAGAGGCGAGGAGGCCGUGGGUCCCCCUGGUGAUCCCAGAGGAAGCCUCCUGCGAGAUGCAGGAAUAAGCUGGGUGGGCGGAGCCUCGCCGAGGGUGUCCUGGGCAGGCCCGCUGUCCGUGGCCCGGGGCUGUGUCACCCUCUGCUCCUUGGGUGGUUCCGGUCGACGAGGAAGGAAGAUCGGGGCAACCCGUGCUGGAGGGAUUGCAUCCCGAUCCACCUCAGGAGACCAAUCUGGAGCCACGGCGUCGGUGCUGGUAGCCACCGAGACCCGGGCGACGACCCGAGCCGGAGGGCUGCUAGCCCGUACCACCCCAGGAGCCCCGUCAGGGCCCGUAGGGUCAGUAUGGGUGCCCACCGAUACCCGGGUGGCGGUCUGGACCGGCAAGGACUGGGCCGGGCGUACCACCUCCGCGUUGACAGGGGGGUCGGCGAAGGCCGCGACGAUCAGAGCCUCGGCCUUCCCGAGGGUGUCCCCCAUCAGUCUGCGUCCCAGAUGUUUCUUGGCCCAUGUAGAGGCCAGCUGAAAAGCGGGUCUCCAAACCUCGUCAAUAAAACUGGUUAUCUUGUCCAAUUCCA